rnacentral:lncRNA from 1 species
AUGGGUUGUUGCUUCCGCAAAGAACUAAGUGGUGACAAUGACAGUGAAAAAACUGGCCUGUUACAAAAAUCAGUGGAGGAGAAGGAACCGGAGAGCAAGAUAAGUACAACUUUAUCUUCAUUAUUCAGUGCCUUUGGAGAUGAGGAGCUUCCCGGUGGUGGACGCAGGGCCAGCUUGUGGGCUGGGGUUUUGGCAAGGCUGGCACACAGACAGGGCCCAGCGCCUGGGCAGUUGCUGGACUCCUCUCCCGUGUCUGGGCUCUUUACUGGGUCUGGACAUGUAGGUGAGGCUGACGGGAACCCUGACGUCACUGCUGUGGGGCAUGGUGGUGAAGGUGCCCAGGGCCCUCCGUGUGGGGGCCUUCCUGCUGGUGAGGGGCCCUGCUCUCCAGCCCUGGCGCCCUCUGACCAGGGCCUUGGCCACCACCCUCCCUGCCUCUGCCCAGCCACCUGGGAAAGCUCCGAGGUGGGGAACAAGGUGCUAGUCACUGUUCAUAUUGGUAGUGCUGCUGACUCCUCAGAUCUGAGUGGUGAGGAGAGGGCAGGUGGAGGUCUUGUUUGUGGUGACUGCAAACGGUAUAGGAAUUCCCGAGAGAGCAGGUUUUACAGUAUUUGUGCUGUUGAUCCUGACGGCCCAGAAGGUGGAGAUGAGCUGUGUGGUCAUGUGUGUGAAACAGCUACAGCUCCCCAGAGCUGUCCAGCUGUCACCUCCGAGGGGGCCCACAGAGGGGCCCAGCUGCCAGACAGUGCUGGUCAUGGGCCUGGGGGGUCGGAGGCCCCUGGGGCAAAGUUGCCCCUGCAGGGCAGGCCACUCCCAAGGGAGAGAGAGUGGGCUCUCGGUGAGAAAGCUCAACCUACCUCUGCCCUGGUGAGUGACAGUGACCCACCCUGUGCCACAGACGUUGGUGCCUUGCUGGCACAGACCUUCGCCAGCUUCCCCGAAGCUGACACAGAAAGGAGCACAUUCCGUAAUGUGGGCACACUCCCCACCUUAAACAUCCACCCAGAUGCUGACUACCUAGUGAGUGCACGCACCAUCCCUGAAGGGAGAUUGCGUGGCAGUUCACAGCCUGGGGGUCUGGUGACUGAUUCACAGAGUACUGUAAUCAGUGGCGCUUCACAUGUUGAGAGAGAUGGUGAUUGUGGGACCGUAACAGCUCAUGCAGAUCAGAGUUUAAACUCUGGGAGGGAAGGAGCAAGUAACUCUGCAAAAGCACUGAAAGGCAGCGAUUAUUCCAGUUUAGAUGUUAGUAGAUCAAACUGCAGAAUCCUUUCCGUAAGUCGAGAUAGAAUCAGUUUAAGUUCAGGAAGAUGUAUCCCUUCAGGGACCUUUAGAUUUCUUCCCACUCAUGCGAAUUUCCAAGAGCCAGCCCCUCACAGAGGUGACGGCCCAGGGCCCUUGGUGCUUGAGGAGCAGCGCCCUGGAGACUGCACUAUGGAAACUGGACGUGGCCCGGAUGCAGACAGGGCCGGCUUGUCUUUGCCAUCUCGGAACCAUCCAUCUUAUCAGGAUGAGGGUGACAGCGUUUUGAAAGAUGAUGCUUGUGGGAAGAGGGCUUCUGAGUGGAGAGCUGCCGCCCAGGUGGACCUGAGUGUGAACACCAGGGCCAGCAAGGCCUGGGCCCAGGGCCGCAACAUGGUGUGUGCAGUACCGGCAGCAGCCGGGCCAGGGAUGUCCCGAAACUCGCAGGGAGCACCUCCACGCAGCAAGUCCCUCCUCGGUUCCAGGUGGCCUGCAAGUGACCUCAUUUCCUCUGCAGAUGUUUUCACCUGCGCCGAAGAGGAGAGUGAAAGAGAGGGUGAGAUGUGUGUGAAGAGCUCAGGGAAGGACCCUCACAGACCAGAGAGUGCUGAGCAGGAACCCCUGAGAGCCAGUCACAGGGACACCGGGACAGCUGCCACAGAGAGGGUCCAGGGAGACCCCCGAACAGCCUUUGACUGGGAAGCAAACGCACAGAAAUGCACGGCAGUGCCCAGUCAGGGUGUGCUUGCUUGUGUCAGUUCUUGUGAAGCAAAGAAUUCUGACUUUGAGACAGCUCACACAGGAAGGAACAAUACCUACCGAGUGAAUGACGGCAGCCGUGAGGAUCUCAGCCUUGCACCACCUGUAAGCCAGAGUUCGGCCCCAGGCGCGCAGGACUCAGAAGGCCUGCGGGUGAGCCCUGUGCACAGUGGUGGCAGCCUUCUGCUGAAGCAGGUUCUCUCCCAGUCAACCGGAGACACUCCUGAGGCCUCUGGUGGGUGCGCAUCAGGGCUGAGAGAACCAGAGCUGACGGGUGGAGAGGAGGAGGAGGCGCUCCGUCUGCAGGAAGGCGGUGGCGGCCCCGGCACUGCCAGCCACGCAGGCCUGUGUGGGACAAGUGCACACGCAUGCCCUUUCAGCCAGAGGAGCGCCAGGUCCACGGCACAGGGACCUGCCUUACAAGGGGACAAGGGCUUGGUGGUCUCUGAAAGAGUGGAGUUAGGGAGUUUUCGUGCAGGGUGCUCCUGCAUGACUGGUGUUUACCCUGCCCAAGUGGACGGGCCGCAGGGGAUUCCUGUUGUCCCAUAUGACAGCAGGGAGGUGGCUGUCCCAGAUUGUGAGUACCCUGCCCUGUCGCUUGUGUCUGAAGAGCUGUCUGAGGGGGAUUUGCGGAGCCCCCCAGGGCAUCAGCACCUCCAGUUUCUGAGUGCACUUUCUUGCUACCCGAUGGCGGAGCUGGCAAGUCAGGUGUUUUCUGAGGGUCCAGCAGAUGGUUGCAGAUAUCAAGUGGGCUGUCCAUGGACUGAUACAGUCAUGAAAGAUACCUUAGAAGAUGAGCAGAUCUUUAGUGAGGACCUGCACUGUAAGCCCCAGGACCUGGAGAUGUCUUUGUUUUGGAUGGAAAAGCCUCCUUUUCAGCUACCAGUGGCAGAAGAUGCUGUCAUUUGGGGAUGGCGAGAGACAGGUGCACACUUAGUACCAACAGCCAAGGUUUCGGAGCUAAACCCUAAUGCAAAAGUAUGGGGCACUCCACUGUUACAGCUGGAAGCGCGUGGAGCUGCAGACGGCGGUGUGAGCACAGUCUGGGAGGCGUCCCCUGGCCGCGGCCAUCUCGGAUUGGACACCAACGGUGACGGUGACAAAAGUCAUGACAGUGUUGGGCUGUCAGAUCCGCAGGAGUCAGACCAGACAGCCAUGAGCACGCUGGGUCCGGACCACUCAGAGUAUGAGUCACUGCCUGAAAGCAGUGAGACAGGAGGGAAUGAAUCUCAACCAGAAAGCCAGGAAGACCCCCGGGAAGUACUUAAAAAGACAUUGGAAUUCUGCUUGUCUAGGGAGAACCUUGCUAGUGACAUGUACCUUAUAUCACAGAUGGACAGUGACCAGUACGUGCCAAUCACCACAGUAGCUAACCUGGACCACAUCAAGAAGCUCAGCACCGACAUGGACCUGAUUGUUGAGGUGCUGAGAUCUUUACCUUUAGUCCAAGUGGAUGAGAAGGGAGAGAAAGUAAGGCCAAAUCAGAACCGUUGCAUAGUGAUACUACGUGAGAUACCUGAGUCCACCCCUGUAGAAGAAGUAGAAGCACUAUUUAAAGGAGAUAACUUACCGAGAUUUAUAAACUGUGAAUUUGCCUAUAAUGAUAAUUGGUUUAUUACAUUUGAAACAGAAGCUGAUGCACAACAGAGAAUGAUUUCAAUAUUUGGAAAAGCGUUUGGGAAAUUUGUGCCUGACUCUAACGUUGCCUGGGCAGCCUUGUGUUAUGAGGUGCAUGAGAAGGCACUGAGGAGCCCUGGGGGAGGCGGGGCAUUCAGAUGGCUCCCUGCCGUGGAAGGAAGCAUCGUGUUCAGAGGAAGCACUCGCCUGUGUAGAGGAACAGCCAUGGAAUGUGAGGCUUACAAGUAUCUGAGAGAAGAAGUCAAAACCUUUCAAGGAAAACCAAUUAAGGCACGGAUAAAGGCGAAGGCAAUAGCUAUAAACACGUUUUUGCCAAAGAAUGGCUUUAGGCCUCUGGACAUGAGCCUCUACACCCAGCAGCGCUACACGGCGUCGUUUUACUUACCUCCAGUCUAUAGUCCCCAGCAGCAGUUCCCUCUGUACAGCCUGAUAGCCCCCCAGACGUGGUCAGCGACACACAGCUAUCUUGACCCGCCCUUGGUAACGCCAUUUCCAAAUACUGGAUUUAUAAAUGGGUUCACGUCUCCAACCUUCAAACCUGCCGCAUCUCCUCUGGCUUCACUCAGACAGUACCCUCCGAGGAGCAGGAAUCCUAGUAAGUCUCACUUGCGCCAUGCCAUCCCCAGUGCAGAGAGGGGUCCCGGGCUGCUGGAAAGUCCUUCCAUAUUUAACUUCACUGCUGAUCGCUUGAUGAACGGUGUGCGCAGCCCACAAGUGAGGCAGACAGCACAGCCACGAGCUCGGCUCCAGAACCCUCCGGCCUUUGCCAAGAGAGACGUGGGGCCUGGGCGCGUGGAGCAGAGCAGCUUCGAGUCCUCCCCGGGCUUAGGCAGAGGGAGGAAGAGCUCCUUUGGUUAUCGGAAGAAGCGGGAGGAGAAGUUCACAAGGAGUCAGACUCAGUCUCCAACGCCGCCCAGACCGCCGUCCCCCAGCUUCGAAUUAGGCCUGUCCAGCUUCCCCCCACUGCCUGGGGCAGCAGGGCAUUUGAAGACAGAGGACUUGUUUGAGAACAGGCUGUCUGGCUUGCUCGCAGGAACAUCCAAAGAAAGGAGCCUGAACGCAGAUGCCAGCACGAACACUCUUCCUGCCGUGCACCCGCGAGAGCCCUUGGCGCCCUGUGCCACGUCCGUAGCCUGCGAGCGCACCCCCUCCCCUGCCCGCCCGCCCGAGGACGCCAAGGUGGUGGAGAAGCAGAGGGAAACCCCGAGUGUGGACAGACCGCCUCCUGCCCUGGCCCUGAGCACCACUGCAAGUAAAUCGGUGCAGGUGAACGGUGCCGCCUCGGAAUUGCGAAAACCCAGCUACGCAGAGAUUUGUCAGAGGACAAGUAGAGAGCCACCGUCUUCCCCGUUGCAACCCCAGAAAGAACAGAAGCCAAACCCGGUCGGCUGUGGGAAGGAAGAGAGGAAGGUCAUGGAGAGAGACCCCCCUGCCCCCAAAUCCAGCCCAGGACCACCCAAAGACCAGAGGAGGCCGCUGGGCCGCCGGCCGUCACCCCCGGGCUUGGGGCGGCGUCCGCACAGAGAACAGAGCCCCCCACCCAGGCCCCCUCAGUGAGCACCGAGGUCUGGGAGGGCUGCGAGGAGCUGAGGUCGCCACAACUAGGCACUAUCCUGCUCGGACGUGAGUGAGCCGCUGGCUAGGAGCUUGCAGUGUAGAUGAGGCCCACAAGGUGCCUGCAAGUUAUUUUUCUUCUAUGAGUCGGAUUUCCCCCCUCUUGAAAAAAAUCUAUUUUUCAGGAUUUAAUUAAUAUAAACCUUAUUUUAGGUUGGUGCUUAACUGGAGGUGAUGCAUAAGUCUGAUUUUUUUCAGGAUAGAAAAUGCAUUUAUCCUAACAAAUUGAUAUUUUUUAUUAAGCCUCCAUGUGGCUAUGAAUGCAAGCUAUAUAUAUAGUGAGUUUUUCUAAAUUAAGCGGAACUAUGCUACUUCAUUUUUUAAAAUAACUGGUUAGCAAGUGCGUAUCUCUAAGAUGUCCAGGCCGCCGGGUGAAGCUGAGGACCGAGGGAGGAGGACUGAGGUGAUGCUGUGAGCACAGCUUGGGAGAGCGGGUGGGGCUCGCCAGCCUGGGAGCUGCCCUUCGCUCAGAAACCUAACAGGUGGUUCUAGCAUUUUCUAAGCAGAGUCCGGUUUUGGUCCACUGGGCAGAGUAAGCCUGCACAGCCCCGAGAGCCCUCUUGUCCUGCCAGCAAGUAACCAGCUCCUCACUCUAGUCUCAAGUGGUUGUUAUGUAAGACAAACUCAAAGCACAUUGUGAAUAGAACUCAAAUGAAAUAUAAACUUUGUAAGCCCACUGACAUGUUACCGCAAAAUUGUACCCUGACGUUUUGCUCCCGCGAGUGGGUGGGGAGGGUGUGGAGCCCGCCUCACAGUCGGCCUUCCUGCCCCCCGCUCCCCCCCCACUCCCCAGGCCUCCGGGGUCCUCCCGGCUCCCCUCUAGAUCCUCCCGGCCCCCGCGCGGAUCAUGGGGGAGGCGGUUGUGGUGCCCUCUGGUGGCGGAGGGUUCCAGCCCACUCUCCUUACCUCCAAGACAGGGUCAAUGAUCCCUUCUCCAAGUGCUGCUCUCCAAGAACACGCAUGCACUAGCUAGCAGUUGAUAAUAAAGUUUAACAUAAAUUAUUUUGUUUUAAAAUG